rnacentral:lncRNA from 1 species
UCUUCCGUUCGCUUCCUCCAAAUCCCCGAGAUUUACUUUCCUUUCCUGGCUUUGGCUGUCUGCUCCUCAUUGUAGUGGUCAGGCGGAUUGCUUCCUUCGGUUUGAUUCAUACCAGGUGGGUUGCUUCAGGUUCCCAUGCCCCAAGUUAGACUGUAGAGGUACUGCAGCCGAAGCUCCAUGCUGGUAAACAUAACAUUGCAAUCUGGGCCUGGUAAUGCCCAUUCCAACCACA